UGAGAUUUAAUUCAAACGUAUUUCAGAAGAUACAAAAUACGUUCAAAAAUACAUUUCCAAAAGUAUAUAACAUUUUUAAAUUUUCAUAGAAUAUGUUUCUCAAUCUAGUUAUUUCCCCACUUCUCCAUAAUGUCAUCUUCAAGUGCCAACUCAUUAUCUAUAUCCACAAAGAAUAUCUAAGUAGUAAAAAAGAAAACAAAUGAAAGCAAAUUUC
rnacentral:lncRNA from 1 species